rnacentral:lncRNA from 1 species
AGGUUCUCCAGGAACUGCGGACAAGCAGAAGUAUCAAAGCUAUGUGAGGAACUGUAUGAAUCUGAAUAAUACGCUCUAAAAGUUGUAUUUAUUUCUGUAGGAUCAGAUAUCAGUUCCUUAGUAGGGGAUUUGAUCAACUGUAUUGAUGAUCUUGUUUCAGCAUGUUCAAGCCGCAGUGCCAGUAAGUGGAUAAGCCUACUCCCUUGAAAAUAGUGUUUUUGUCGCACCUAUCUACAUAUGAAUGUCAAAAAGAGAUAAAACAGCUUGCAGGCCCAGUCUGUAAUUCCACCAACAGCUGACCCUGAUACUGUUUGACUAAUAACUCUUUAUUUUCGGUCUGAACCAUAGACUUAGAUAGACCACAUCAUUUUUGUGUCUGUCCCAUUAUAGCGUCUGUGAGAACACAGGCAGUGCCAUUGAGGCGUCUCCAUUUUGAAGUAGUCCAUUUUCUUCUUCUACUAGUUUUAUUAGGAAACAAACUGAAAGGGUGCAAACUGCCACCUAGACUGUGUUGUUUGAACAGGUAUAAAGCCAAGGUUGGCAAUUUACUGUUUCCUCAUGAGUAUAAUUCAUUGGCUGAUCCCUCCUGAUGAUCUGGGUGGAAUUAUGUGAUCAUUCCUUAACAUAGGAACUCCCACCGAGUUUCACCCAGACUACUUCAAAAAAGGUGGAGGCCUCAAUCACUCUUUAUGGCCUGAAGUGAAAUUCAGUAUGAUGCCAUUUUAGCACACGGCUAGAAUAUCCAGUAUAGAAUAGCAAUACACUAGCAUUGAAUGAAUACACUUGCAUGUAACUAAAUGCUAUGGUCAUUACAGGCCUUCACAAAGAUUUAGAAACCAGGACAACCAUGACUCUGAUCACCAUCUUCAUCUGGACACUGAUCUGCUGCUGCCUCAAAGGAUCCAGAGGUCAGGUGACUGUGACUCAGCCUCCUGUAGUGACAUGUUCUCCAGGAGACCCCGUCACUCUGACCUGUACAACCAACCCUGAAGUGUACAGAUUCAGUGAUGGAGAUUAAGCCUUGUCCUGGUAUCAACAGAGACCUGGAGAAGCUCCCAAACUCCUGAUAAAAUACGCGAAGAAACGGCUAGGUGGGAUUCCUGCUAGAUUCAGUGGCAGUGGGUCUGAGAGGGACUUCACUCUGACCAUCAGUGGAGUCCAGGUUGAAGAUGCAGCAGUUUACUACUGUCAGAGUUAUCAUGAGCUCAAUGAUUAAGCUCUGUUCACACAGUGAUUUAGAGACGUACAAAAACCUCCUGUACAAAAUGACAAACAUCACUGGUCCAUUGAACACAGAACAAAGGGUCUUGUUAUAUGACAUCACCAAGUAUAUCCACUUUACUAACUCACAGAAAUAAUGCUUACAAACUAGUUUCAUGACCCUCCCAACCUCCCAUGUCUACAAAUGUUCUCUAUUUCAGGAAGAUACAGGUGAAAUAGUCCCAUUGAGGAGGAAUAAUCUGUAUCAUGUCAACAUAAGAUCAUGUGUGAAGCAAGAAGGUUGGUGUGCCUCAAUGCUUGGUUGACCAACCGGACACACACAGCUUGCCAACACUUCCGUGGAGCAGUAUUGAGUGUGUGUGUAAGUGCAUGCGUGUGUUUGACUGAGAGAGAGCCCUGUGAAACAGAAACUUCGUUUUGCAUGGCCACUCUCCCAGAAUAGAGCAGUACACUCCCCAGAUGUUCCCCCAUCCUUAACACGACACCAGAGCUAGACCAGAGGAGGUCAAAGAUCAAAGUCAGAGGUUAGAUGUCAGUCACAGGCCAUUUUAUGUUCCUUCUUAUCAGAAAGAUACAGGUAAAACAUUCCUAUUGAGGAUAAAUAAUCCAUAUUAUGUCAACAUAAAAUCAUGUGUGAAGCUAAA